rnacentral:antisense_RNA from 1 species
GCCGGGAAGUUGUAGAGCCAGAACGACUGCUGGUCGAUCUGCUGGAACGUCAUGUUGAAAUUG